UAACACGUGAGUGACCUGCCUUUUAGACUGGAACAACUUACCGAAAGGUGAGCUAAUGCCGGAUGAGUUAUAUAAGUGCAUGUUUAUAUAGGAAAAGUUGGGGAGACCUGACGCUGAAAGAUGGACUCGCGUCCCAUUAGCUAGUUGGUAGGGUAAUGGCCUACCAAGGCGACGAUGGGUAGCCGGCCUGAGAGGGUGGCCGGCCACACUGGGACUGAGACACGGCCCAGACUCCUACGGGAGGCAGCAGUGGGGAAUUUUGCGCAAUGCUCGUAAGAGUGACGCAGCGACGCCGCGUGAAUGACGAAGGCCUUCGGGUCGUAAAGUUCUUUCGACAGGGAAGAAAAUGCCUAUAAGUAACUGUGUAUGUAUUGACGGUACCUGUAUAAGCAGCCCCGGCUAACUCCGUGCCAGCAGCCGCGGUAAUACGGAGGGGGCGAGCGUUGUUCGGAGUGACUGGGCGUAAAGAGCACGUAGGCGGUGUUGUAAGUCAUUAGUCAAAGACUAGAGCUCAACUUUAGUAAGGCUAGUGAUACUAUAAUACUAGAGUAUCAGAGAGGAUUGCAGAAUUCCUGGUGUAGCGGUGAAUUGCGUAGAUAUCAGGAGGAAUACCGUUAGCGAAGGCGGCAAUCUGGCUGGAAACUGACGCUGAGGUGCGAAAGCGUGGGUAGCAAACAGGAUUAGAUACCCUGGUAGUCCACGCUGUAAACGAUGGAUGCUAGGUGU
rnacentral:rRNA from 1 species